AAAUAUGGUGGGCUGGAUGGGGGAGCCGAAAGGCUCGCCGGAGACCUCUUUUGACGCCGGUACUGUGAACCCUGUUCAGUUCACCACCAGU
rnacentral:antisense_RNA from 1 species